rnacentral:rRNA from 1 species
AGAGUUUGAUCCUGGCUCAGGAUGAACGCUAGCGGCAGGCCUAAUACAUGCAAGUCGAGGGGCAGCACAGGUAGCGAUACCGGGUGGCGACCGGCAAACGGGUGCGUAACACGUACACAACCAACCCCCGUCCGGGGGACAGGCCGCCGAAAGGCGGAUUAACCCCCCAUGGAACGCGUGUCCCGCAUGGGAUGCGCGUCAAACCCCGGGGACGGGGACGGGUGUGCGGACGAUUAGCUAGUUGGCGGGGCAACGGCCCACCAAGGCGACGAUCGUUAGCUGAUGUGAGAGCAUGGUCAGCCACACGGGCACUGAGACACGGGCCCGACUCCUACGGGAGGCAGCAGUAAGGAAUAUUGGUCAAUGGGCGCAGGCCUGAACCAGCCAUGCCGCGUGGAGGACGAAGGCCCUCCGGGUCGUAAACUCCUUUUACCCGGGACGAAAAAAGCCCUUUUGAGGGCACUUGACGGUCCGGGGGAAUAAGCACCGGCUAACUCCGUGCCAGCAGCCGCGGUAAU